rnacentral:rRNA from 1 species
ASRGSRUCUAAUACUGGAUACGAGUAGCGAUCGCAUGGUCWGCUACUGGAAAGAUUUUUUGGUUGGGGAUGGSYYCGCGGCCUAUCAGCUUGUUGGUGAGGUAAUGGCUCACCAAGGSGUCGACGGGUAGCCGGCCUGAGAGGGUGACCGGCCACACUGGGACUGAGACACGGCCCAGAYWCCUACGGGAGGCAGCAGUGGGGAAUAUUGCACAAUGGGCGGAAGCCUGAUGCAGCAACGCCGCGUGAGGGAUGACGGCCUUCGGGUUGUAAACCUCUUUUAGCAGGGAAGAAGCGAAAGUGACGGUACCUGYWGAAAAAGCGCCGGCUAACUACGUGCCAGCAGCCGCGGU